UACGGGGGGGGCAAGCGUUGUUCGGAAUUACUGGGCGUAAAGGGCUCGUAGGUGGCCAACUAAGUCAGACGUGAAAUCCCUCAGCUUAACUGGGGAACUGCGUGUGAUACUGGAUGGCUUGGAUUUGGGAGAGGGAUGCGGAAUUCCAGGUGUAGCGGUGAAAUGCGUAGAUAUCUGGAGGAACACCGGUGGCGAAGGCGGCAUCCUGGACCAAUAUUGACGCUGAGGAGCGAAAGCCAGGGGAGCAA
rnacentral:rRNA from 1 species